ACAAGGAGGCAGGAAGAAGCCAGCACUAUGAGAGAAAUGGUAGGAGACUUAGGAAGGAAGUGCUUUUAGGGGCUGGCACGUGAAAAGGCAUAACGUGGUUUACCUCGUAAACAAAUAUAUAAAAUAACAGUCAGUACUUAUGUAGCAUGAACUGUAAGUCAGGAACUGUUCUAAACACUUUGUAAGAUAAAUGUUAAAUUAUUUAAUCUUCACAACAACCCUCCCAUAUAAGUACUGUUAUUAUCCCCAUUUACAGAUGGUAAAACUGAGUCAAAAAACUCACUUAAAUUCACAGAGCUAAUAAGUAGCGCAGUCAGGCUUUAGAUGCAGGCAGUCUGGUUCCAAAGUCCAUGCUUAACACUGCCCCCCACAACACACACACACAAAGAAUCGCUCUGGGUGUAUGUAUGGACAUGAGCUCCUGAUCAGAUAGGCAGACCAGCUCCUGAAUUCUCUUCCAGAGGCUGAAACCCUGCAAAAUAAUGACAAACACUCACUGAAACUCAAGCUUUGCUAACAGUUAAGUGUAUAAAUACCAAUUAUAUCCAUUCCUUCCUUCCUCCAUUUAUUUGUUACUGAUCAUUUGACCAACUAAGGAAUGUGUAGAUAUGAACUAAGUUAGUGAUCGGAAGGAAUAGAAGACUGUUUUGGGGGAGUGCAUCACAAAUAUUUAUUUAGCAUCUACUACAUGCUAGUUUCACAAAUUGGAGACUGAAUAGGAUUUAGAGAGGGAUUUAGAGAAUAUUUACAUAGCAGGUAUCUGUGAUUAGAAGGUAUCUAAGUUCUGUGCCAGUCAUGUCAUGUUGUCCCCGCUCUUAUGGAGCUUACAUCUAAAAGGAGAGACAAAUAUAUAUAUAUAUUUAACAUCUUUAUUGGGGUAUAAUUGCUUUACAAUGGUGUGUUAGUUUCUGCUUUAUAACAAAGUGAAUCAGCUAUACAUAUACGUAUGUCCCCAUAUCUCCUCCCUCUUGCGAGGAGAGACAAAUACUAAUCAACUUAUCCAUUAGACAAGGUAUAGCUGCAGAGUGAGGCACUCUGAAGGAAAGGAAGGCAAGUAUUAGUGAUUCACACAGGAAGCUGAGCUGGCCCUGGGCAGCCUGCCUCGAGAAGGAAAGGCUUGGGCUGAGAGCCCCCAAGAAUGAAAAAGCUUUCCUUGAUGACACAAGAGUGAUACAGAGAAAGUUCUAGUCAGAAGAAGCAGCACUUGCAGAGGCAAGAGGGAGCAGGCUCCGAAGCUGCAGGGCGCGCCGGCCCCACGGCGAGGCGCAGGGUGGAGGUGACCGGACGCUGUAGCGGGAAGCAGAAGGCGGGCCACGCAACAUCUGAGAGCUCCAGGUCUUCGUGCAGAGGCCCCGGGAAGCCACGGGAGGACGUUCACACAGUAGUGACAUGAAACAAGCAACACCCGAUGCACCCAGGCAGUGACUAAACAAAUAAUGAAACUCAGAUCCUUCUUCCUCCGGACCUCCAACCUCACUGCAUGCACACCAGCAUAUGAAAUUCAGCCAGUAGAGGUCCUCGCCAAGCCCCCAGAUCAGGAGCCUCAAUGCUGGCAGAGGCUUAGACAUCUAGUCACCCCACCUACUAGGUAAGCACUAACUUGCCCUCUCUGAGGCCCAGGCAACCUCUAACCCGUGUGAAACUAGAUAUCAGGACUCAGCCUAGGCUUAAGAGCUGGGUAAUCUCCUGCAAGUUAAGUCAUCUCCAUGAGUCUCUGUUUCUUCAACUGCACAAAAGGGGAUUGUAGUGUCAAUUGAUUAUUAAGAUAAUGUAGGUAAUCUUUCCAGCACCACCCAAUCUUUGGUAUGUGCCCAAUAAGUGACAGUUUUAUCUGAAUGCAUUCAUUCUGAGUGAUAUCAUUCACCCAUUUGAUCCUCACAAUGUGGAAUGGUUAUUAUUUACCCCACUCCAUUUUGCAGGUGAUAAAACAACCGAAACCCAGACUAGUUCAGUAGCCUGCCCGUUGCCAACAAGUGAUGAAAACAUGCCUCACACCCACUUCAUUCUGCUUGCAAACCAAGUGACUCUGCUCUGACAUUUAGUUAGGAGGAGCCCUGAGAAUCAUCUGUGUGGAGGACACCCAAGCAGCUACACCUUGGCAGACGUUGACCUCGCUAUGGCUGAGCUGUGAAUGCAAGAUCAGCCACGAAGGCAAUUGCUCUGGACUUCUGCUUGGCCCUAAUGUUCUGGGAGGCUGCCACCUUGUGGUCAGUCUUAAGUGACCAUUACAGCAGCUUCCUGAAAGCUGGCACAACUCAGACUUCCGUGACAGAGGUCAAGAGAGGACAACGUACUCAAUAAGAAACCAGGAUUCAUUUCCAGGGGGAAAGUAUCGGCUGUGUCAAACCCAUUAUAAACCUUUAUUUCCAUGAGGAAGAAAAGUAGGACAGCAAUAUGGCCAUAAUUCCCAUUUCACAGGUAAAGAGACUGAGGCUCCAGGAGUUAACUGUCUUUGUGAAAGUUGCAUGGCUAACUACUAGAUGAAUUUAAACUGGAAACCAACUUGUUAAGCCAAUAUCUCCUGAGAAUGAGAUUUCUUUUUAUCAUAAAAGAAAAAGUUCAGGGGAAAAAUUUUAAUUUCAAGAUUGGACUAAAGUGUGUGUUUGUGGGAAACAAAACACACAUACCCACACAUUUUUUAAAACCUCAUAAAGAGGACUAGUUGGAUGAUAGAAACUUCUACUUCAUGAAAGAUUAUGCUUUGUAAUACUAUUAAGGAAACGCAUUUUCUUCAAAGACACAAACUAAUUCAGACAAACAUCUAUAUUUUCAAGUCCUAUCAGACCUGCUAUAAUGAAUAGAUAAGACUCCCUGGUAAAGGCACCUGGAAUCUUAAUAUGAAAUAUGAAUUAUAUUCUGCACACCAGCCUGAUUUUUCAAGCAGAUUAAAUGUAUGAGAAGUGGAAAAGCUGUCCCUGUGGACAUACAGACCUGGGUUUGUGCGUCAACUCUUCCACUGUGAACUGCAAAAUCUUGCAGAAUUUUCUUUAACGCCCUAAACUUCAGUUUCCUCAUCUAUGAGUAAGAAUGAGAAUGACAACUUACUAAUAAUUCUUAUUGCUGUUAAAUUAAAGAAUGUACCCAUACAGAGGUCCUAAAAUGGGAAGCACCAAAAUAUUAAAUGAAGAAGAGUUUCCCUUAUCCUAUGAUUUUUGUAGAAUGUUUGGCUAACUGAUCACAUUGCUAAUGAGUGGGGUACAAAUUACUUCGGUGCUGCACCACUCUAGAUGUCCAGGAUUUUAUAAGGGUUCAAAAAACAAACCAGUCACAUCAUUAGAAUAAAAUAUAAAAGGAUAUUUUAGGCAGCUAAGAGGAGUUGGGAACUUUGCUAAAUGGAUCAGUGCAGUCUUCAUAGUGGGUUAAAUUUCACAUUUGGACCCAGUUUUAGGAAAUAAUUUAUUGGAAUAACAGCUUUAGAAAGCAGCCCUGUACUCAGCUACCAAGAAGGCUCUGUUUUUUGAUUUCUGCCUGACUGGGUCAUGAGUCAGCUGGUAUCUAGAAAGAAGAAACUGGGCAUCAGUUACCACAGGUCAUGCACUCAGAAAUCACUGUUGAUUUCAGAAGCUGAGAAACAAAGACCUCCCAGAACGUCUCCAGGCCAGACACUAGACACGAGAUAUUGAAGAGGAAAAUUUCUGUUGAAACUAGGAAACCUUCCUAAGGGCUACCUAUGAAAUGCUUUGUCUGUCUUCCGUCUUUGAAUAUAAAUGCUUGUAUUAAUCUUGUUACUUUUGUUCCGUCCUGUAUCUAGUAGAAGGAAGGAAGUACCUGAGUAGGAUCUAUAUUUACACAGCACAUGGGAAUGGGAGGACUAGAGAUAGAUGAGCAAAGUCUUUAAAACUGAAAUCACUACUGUUUUCAGAAUGGAGUCUUGACUUAAUGACUUAGAAUAGUGAAAGCUAUUGGUAUUCAAUUCAUUAUCAGGUAAUUUUAAAGGGAAUAAGACAUCGCUACAGCAUAUCAGGAAAUGUCAAUAUCAGCAAUGCAAAAGAUGCUCAACUAUGCCUUCUGUUCUAAGCUGGCAGAGUAGAUAUUUACCUAUAAGUGGUAGUUUGAAGAGCACAGGAUAAGCACAAACCUCCUUAACUGCAAAGGACUUCCCUACCAGAAUUCUACAAAGCCUGACAUUCUUAUUUUUUUUUCCAGUUUAAACGUUGUCCCCAAAAGGACUCUAUUAAAAAGCAAAUAUGUUUCCUUGGGAGAAGCCCUAUUUGGCCUGGGUUACUUUAUCAUGUAUAGAGAAAAAGAAAAACAAACCCAAAAAACUUGUAGAAGAAGUUGAGGAAAGUGGGAAGAAAGGGAGGAAAGAGAAGGAGGAGAGAUAGAGAGGCAGGCUACCAAUAUCUAUUCAUCCAACCUCUAGACCAGUCUGUCCAGUAUGGUAGCCUCUACUCACAUGUGGCCAUUUCAACUUAAAGUUUACAUUAACUAAAUUAAGCAAAAUAAAAUAUUCAGCUAUUCCAUCACGUUAGCCCUAUUUCAAGUGCUCAAUAGCCCCGUAAGUUUAGUGCCUACCGUAUCGGUCAGUGUACACAGAGAACAUUGGCAUUGUCGCAGAAAUUUCUGUUGGACAGCACUGCCCUAGUGAGUGACUCUUACAGAAGACCUUACCACCUGCUUCAGAAGUGACAGGCUUAAAAAAAAAAAAAAAAGCUGAGCACAUUGUGCUGUAUUAUCCUGCAGUCCUUCUUGGCUUCUACAUAUAAAGAACCAAGAAGCAGGUAUUUUGUUGCAGACUAAACCUAUGUGGGGAAAGGACAGGAUGGGUCACAGAGAAAAACAUUCAGACAUGACAAGUCCAAGGCCUCUUGCUUAGCAACCCCGAAUGAGAACAGUUCACCCGUGGGCACUAAAUGGAGACUGAUAUUGAAACACGCUUUGUUCUGUAGAGCUAAUUUACUCUAACCAUGUGUUAUACACUAUGUGAAGUUCCCAUGGCAGAGUGGGAUCGGCCUCUCACAAAUUUCCUUUGUCACCUUCAUCAUUUCCAGGUUGUAGAACCCCUCCAUAUAUUCUAUAGCUGGGGCAGCUGCUACCUGACCACAAGAAUUACAUAAGAAUCAAGCUUAUGGAGGCUAGAGUUUUUUUUUUUUUUAGAGAAAACCACCGUCCUUGAACACUGAAGCAACCCAUCUGUAAUCAUUGGACCUGAUUAAUGGCUUAAUCUGUCUAUGGUAUAAUUUCUGGAAAACACGAAGGAGACUUUUCAUAUAAGCCUGUCAGACAAGAUUCAGGCUCAGAAGAAGCAAUCUUUUAAUCACCUUCAGUUGUGUUAUCUCCAAGACGGCUUCUGGUGGAUCAGAGAUUAGGACACAUAGUCAUUUCAAAUGUGUCAUUCUCAGUGUUCUCGCCUGCCAGUCAGAACCUAGAACAAUUUCAGAUGAGACCAUGGACAGGUUUAUGACGCAGGAAUGCUUUUAGAUUAGAUACCAAAGAGGUGGACUAACUCAGAAAUUCCAAGAACACUUGGCUCCCUAAAUAGAACGAUGGUACUAAGCACUGAAGUGAAAACCCUAACUACAGUAUCCCGUUUAAUCUCCCCAUAUACCUGAAGAGUAGAUAUUUUUAUCCCCGUUGUAUAAAUAAGAAUCUGUAGCUCAUAGAAUUUAGGUAACUUGUCCAAAAUUAGUGGCUGAGCUUCAAUGUCAACCCCGACUUGUCUGAACCCAAACCCCAUGUUUUAACACCUGACCAGGAGUUCUCAACUAGCAGUCCACAGAUCAGAGCAGGGCUGACAAGAAAGGAAAAAUACAGAUAUCCUCGUUCCAUUUGACCACGAGUAUUCUAACUCAGUACAUCUGGGAUGGAGCCCCUAAUUCUGUACCUUUAGCAAAUAUUCUGGGUAAUUAUACGGGACAGCUAGGUGUGAAAAGCUUUCCCAUGGGCCUCCUCAGGAGACAAAUACAUACUUCUUAGAGAAAUGGUACCUGGAAUACUCAGCACUUAGCUGGUGUGAUGGGUAUGAAUUGCUCCUUGACACCCAAGGUGCACGAACAAUCCUAUUUCUCUAUGUUUGCAAAUCAAUUAUGUCCUUUCAAACUCUCACUUAACUACGCUAAUGAGUCAUUUUGUAUGACCUUGGAACAUGCUAGAAGCUCUCAGGAUUACUCAAAAAUUAGGAAGGAGCCUUUUCUUUGGCCCCUCAUAGUCAUCGCCGUUGCUCAAUCUGUUGCACUGGUUCUCCUCGUUUGCACAAGCUGCAGAGUCACCAGCCCUUCCUGGAGGCACUCUGUGGCUCCCUGGCUGUGACCCUGAACUCCUCUUCUUUUAGGACCCCUUUCCCUGUAUGCUACUGGGGGUAGUUCUCACUAACUCAAGAAAAUCAGAAGUGCAAUCAUCCUUCCCGAUCUCAGAAGAGCUCCCUUAAUCUCCUCCUAACCGACCAAGCAAAGUAGCCCUUUACUCUCAACCCUCGGACCACUGUCCACUUGUCUUUCUCCAUAUUUUUUCUUUAACAAGGAAAUUUAAUGAUUAACUAGGAUGCAUAAAAUAUUUUAGGUCCCAGAAUCAACAGAUAGCAGUUUUAUCUUUUCUGGGAAUAAAGUUAGUCUGAAAAUGCAUGAGUUAGCCUUCUAUCCCCAAGGACGAACAGCUACUUCUACAAAGCAAUGGGAAACGAAACACAAGUUUGAGUCUUCCUAUUCUGCUACAUUAAAUUGUCCUUAACCCACCUUGGCACUGUUUACAGACUUCAGUGUAAACUAAGACGACAUUCAAAUCAAUGUGCAUGUGCUUGGCCAUAACAGAUGCCUGAUACUGAGUGAGCAAAAUAUGGGAAACAAAACAAAUACAAAGUAUGGCCCCUUCCCCACAGAGACUUUAUAAUCCUAUUGUGAAAUAGCGUAUAUGUGAAAUGACCCUGAACUUUUACACAUUGGGAUUCCUUUCUUUGUUCUAUUAUCACUACCUUUGGGCAUUCUGAAUCUAGGCCUUACAUCCUGCCCUCUCCCCGCCAAAAAUUAAAACGUUGAUAUUAUGGUUAUUCUCUUCACACUAUAAGAUAAGGUGUGGCAAGGUACUUUGAAAGCUGUAAAAUUUUACACUAAAGUACCAGAAAUUCUUAAAAGUAAGGGGAAAAAGUAGAGAGUUUUAUCACUGCAAUAUGGAGUCACCUCACUUCUGGCUUCAUCUUAUCUUUUCUACCCUAAUUUCUUCUUUGCUCCACGGUCCUCAUCCUCUUAGGCUUAUCUUUAUUCACAGGUGGCAUUGUUUUCUAUGUAAAAAAUCCCAAGUAUUGACCUAAAACAAUAAAACAGCCAGUUAUUUUACCAGCAAAAUAGGUUUAUUCAGGUACAACAAAGAAUCGCAAUUUGAGACACAAUCUAUGGCAAAUCACAGGCAAGUCAAGAGAACCGAAGGAAAGGAAAAUUCUGUUAUAGAGGAGAAGGGAGAGUUGAGAGGGGCAGUUAUAAAGAGUCCAUCAGAGGAAACUGGGAGUUUGAAGUGAGGUGGCUUUUCAUUGGCUCAGUUGUGACAGUCUCUCUUUAGCUUGCUUGUUGCCAGUCAAGAAGAAAUUCUUCCUUCCUCCUGCUGGCUAGUAAAGUAGUAACCUCUGGAAUGUUUCUUUUUCAAGUUAUAUAGAUUUUCUUGAACUGGCCUAAAGUACAUUAAACAUUCCACCCCCAAACCCUAACAGAAACAGUUAUAUUAUAAAUACAAAAUUUCUCUAAUGCUAGUUCGCACAUGCCAGGCUCCUAGCAGGGACCCUACACUUUGCCUUUGUUAUCUCACUCAACCCUCACAAUAAUGUUAUGGAGUCAAAACAUCACACAUGUUCUCAAGAUUGAGCAAACUGCACUUCCAAGAAGUUAGAAAAUUUGCCCCAAGUCAUACAAGUGAUUUGGAACCCAGGUAUAUUUAUGCAGAAAACCGCAGUGCCUUUCUCACUCUGUGACUAUAGACACCUAUUAUUACAUCUGUUUUUCAAACACUCUUAUGGUUCUUAUCUUUUGCUGGUCACAAUUCAAAAUGCUUUACAAAUAUUAAUUUAUUUAAUACUCAUAACCACUUAUUAGGUAGGUGUUAUUAAUAUCCCCAUUUUAAAAAUUAAGUAACUGACUUCAUUUUCUGAGUCUAUGACUCAUUUUCUAAAAACAACUUCUAAGAGUCCCAGACAGCUCUAGCAGACACUGAUUCAAUAACAGACAAUAUACCUCCAAGGUCAAACUCACCAGGCCUGGGCUUGAGACAAGGCCAUUUUGAAGACUGGGCAAAAUCCUUUGAAGUGGCUUCUAUAAAAUUCAAUAAAACAAAAACAAAUCAAAUUUAAUUUUCCUUGUAAAAAUUAUGGCAAACAGAGAGAUGACAUCAGCUGACAUUUGUGCAAGUUGCUAUUUUAAUACAUAUUCAUUUGAAAGGGUGCCUGAAAAUAUAAUAAAGUGAAAGGAUCCAAGAAGCUUCUGUCAAAAGUACUCAGUCUUUCUUUCCUCUUUUCACUUAACAAAAAAGGGAAAAGAAAAAAAGGAGGAAGAAAAGGCAGGGAGGGAGGGAAAGAGAAAGAAAAAGAGAUAGAAGAAGGAGGGAAGAAAGA